rnacentral:rRNA from 1 species
GACGAACGCUGGCGGCGUGCUUAACACAUGCAAGUCGAACGGAAAGGCCCUGCUUUUGUGGGGUGCUCGAGUGGCGAACGGGUGAGUAACACGUGAGUAACCUGCCCUUGACUUUGGGAUAACUUCAGGAAACUGGGGCUAAUACCGGAUAGGAGCUCCUGCUGCAUGGUGGGGGUUGGAAAGUUUCGGCGGUUGGGGAUGGACUCGCGGCUUAUCAGCUUGUUGGUGGGGUAGUGGCUUACCAAGGCUUUGACGGGUAGCCGGCCUGAGAGGGUGACCGGUCACAUUGGGACUGAGAUACGGCUCAGACUCCUACGGGAGGCAGCAGUGGGGAAUAUUGCACAAUGGGCGGAAGCCUGAUGCAGCAACGCCGCGUGCGGGAUGACGGCCUUCGGGUUGUAAACCGCUUUCGCCUGUGACGAAGCGUGAGUGACGGUAAUGGGUAAAGAAGCACCGGCUAACUACGUG